CAAGAGCAGGUGCAUACAAGGCUUUUGCUUCCAUUAGCGCAGCCCAAGGGUUCUCUGGGUCUUGUAAUCAAUUUAAUUGCCUCUGGUCACUCCUACUGUAUUAGGAUUACAGGCAGCGCGAGCAUCACAGCGCUAUCUGUCUUUCCAAAAGGGCGUGUGUGGAAGCUCACGCGCACAGGGCAAACAGAACUAUCGGAAGGAUCCGAUACGUCGCGCGAAUUGACCCAUGUAAUGUUGUGAUGAGGCAAUUCCCCAGGGUUUAUCAUCCGUCUUCGUGAAGACCGCAAAAGGCAAUAUUUUGAAGAUGGAGAUUCUGUUUGAGCCGGAGCCUUUAACGCUCCGCUUUCUUCGAACUUUUAGAGAACUUCUCAGAUUUGUCCUUUUCUGUUACACUGUAUUGCUUGGGUCUUUGCUACUGGCUGGAUGGACCACUUACUUCGUUAUUGCAAAAUAAGGAGACAAGAUGACUGCAGUGCACGGAAAGGGGCAAUCACACAAAGAGUAGCCUACCACUUGUAGAAAGGUGAAUAUUCAUUCACUCUUUAUGGACUAAAUGACGCACUUUUACAUGGCUAUUAGUAAGUGACAUAGCUAAUUUGUCUGUUGUAAUUAUACUGUAGCCAAGGCUCGUGCACAACCAAGUUUGUCAAACAAUUUGUCAAAUAUGCGCUUUCCCUCAGACUUGUAAACCUUCAAAGUAAAUGCCAAUAUUCAAAAUGAAUUAAAAUGAGAUCUGUGUUUUUGCUGUUCUUGUGUUGACCUUUUUUUAAGCUUAGAAUUUACAAAUACCUCAUCAGAUUGGGUUUGACUUUGACACAUGGUUUUAAACAAACAUUUAAGCCUGUUUAACACAAAAGGAGUCACUGCAAAUUGGUGAUUGAUCUGUUACUUGGAGGUUCAAGCAGAGAAGCUGGGUUGAUAUUGCUUCAUUUUACCAACAACUGCACAUCUGAUAGGGUGAGAAAUGUCCUAUCCCCAAAAGAUUGUGAGAAUAUGGUCCAUGCUUUCUUAUCUUCCACAAUGCAGUAUACUCGGGGAUAAGCCAAGCUUCACUUCAUAAGUUACAAGCGGUCC
ensembl:lncRNA